rnacentral:rRNA from 1 species
CCUACGGGAGGCAGCAGUGGGGAAUAUUGCACAAUGGGGGAAACCCUGAUGCAGCAACGCCGCGUGAAGGAAGACGGCUUUCGGAUUGUAAACUUCUGUUCUUAGGGAAGAAUAAUGACGGUAGCUAAGGAGCAAGCCACGGCAAACUACGUGCCAGCAGCCGCGGUAAUACGUAGGGGGCAAGGGUAGUCCGGAAUUACUGGGGGGAAAGGGAGGGCAGGCGGGAAGCCAAGUCAGCUGUUAAAACUACGGGCGUAACUUGUAGAGUGCAGUUGAAACUGGUUUACUUGAGUGCAGUAGAGGUUGGUGGAAUUCCGAGUGUAGCGGUGAAAUGCGUAGAUAUUCGGAGGAACACCGGUGGCGAAGGCGGCCAACUGGACUUUAACUGACGCUGAGGCUCGAAAGUGUGGGGAGCAAACAGGAUUAGAUACCCCUGUAGUC